GUCAGGAUGCCUGAGCGGUCUAAGGCGCUGCGUUCAGGUCGCAGUCUCCACUGGAGGCGUGGGUUAAAAUCCCACUUCUGACA
rfam:Danio rerio chromosome 4, GRCz11 reference primary assembly.